rnacentral:lncRNA from 1 species
CUAGCUUCCUUAUAGAGAUCACAUCUUGAUGGUUUAAAAUCUUUUUUUCUUCUAAGACACUCUUAGAGAACAAGAAGAUGUAGGAGGAUCUUGAUCUCUACGCUAGAAAUCGUGAGAAGAACCCUUUCUUCUCUUUUUUUUCUAAAAUUCAUGCACUAAAUCUCUACAAUAAAGAUGUGAUAAUUUUAUCUAACUUUUGGACAA